rnacentral:lncRNA from 10 species
UCAGACUCCCAAAGUGCUGGGGUUACAGACGUGAGCCACCGCACCUAGCUCAGUGACACAAUCUUGAUCUAGUGUUUCAUUCACUUAAUUCAAGACAAAGGAGGCCUUUGCUGGAAAAUGCAUCUUUUCUGCUUUUACCCUACAUAGUUCACAGACACUCUCUGCAGUUACUAAACGGGGUGGCCUGAGUAAUCCUGAUCUUUAAGCAAGGAUCUUUUCUAAACUCUGAGUGGUAUGGGUAAGAAAAAGAAAAGAAAUAUCUCGGUCUUCUGCAGUGAAAUUGAUUUUUCUAAUGCUCCUGGAAAUACUGUUUUAGAGUAGAAAAAUAAGUGGAGCCAGGCACUAGAAUCAUAGGAAAAUACUUUUUCCAAAUUGAGAAGGGAACAUACGUACAUACAUAAAUUUGGUAACCAAAAUGCAUUUUUUCUUUUUUCUUUUAAUCUACCAUUUGAAAUCUAAAAUACUGUGAUAAAAACUGUCAAAAGUGAAAAUUUGUUUAUGAAAGGUAUAUUGUUUAAUACAUCCUCUACUAUAGAGUGAUCAGAAGCAAAAGAAGUAAAUUAAUGAAACAUCAAGACCCCACUCAUCUCAGCACUAAGUCUGUCAGCACCACCAUCCUUCCUAAAGGAAAUAAAUUAAACUUGAUUCCUUAAGGUACUACAGGAAUCAGAGACAAAAGUGGAAAGAACAAAUUAAGGUUGGAGAGAAAUUUUCAGUUUAAAGUUUAUAGAUAUGAAGAAAAUUCUUAUUUUACCCAUUAAGAACAAAUACAGAAGUGAAAUUUUCUUACUGGUAGUCAGUGGUCAGAUAUAGCUACAUUUUCCCCUUAAGUCAUACCACCCAACUCUAGCUUCCAAAAAAUGUUGAAAACUAUCAUUCAGCAUAUUCUGAGACAUUCUAGUGUCUUCAUAGUGGUAUACCUGUUGUAACACUGGCAACUUUUAUAGGUAUGGAGGACAAAGCAUUCCAACAAAUUUUCAUGGUGGAGAGAAAAAGGCCUACUUUCUUAUUUUGUUACAGAAGCCAGAAACUCUUAAAAAAAACUAACAUUGCUGCCAAAUACAAUUUCCACACAACUCCAUCUGUGGUAUUGACUUAGCUGGUAAACUUUUUAUUAUUUAAAGAAAAAAAAUUACAUAUAUAAAAUGAUAAAUAUUUUUAAUGAUACUUUAAUAUGGUUUUUCCUCAGUUAUGUUUAAAGUCCUACCAUAGUGUUAAGCAGUAGCCUUGACUUUGAACCUAAAAUAGAAAUACAAGUAAGAAAAAUUAUGAGUUGAAAAUUAGCUUCUUGGACUUUGUGUUUCUCAUUCCUUACCAUUUUUCACUAGUACAUCUAUCCAAAUCACAACACGUUUCUUUUUAAUGAGAUUUAAUAAAAAAUGUUUAUUGUGGCACAAAUUCAAUGAGCAAGAUACUCUUCAAAAGGAAAUAUAAUUUUAUUUAGUUCAGAUUCUAAAACUUGUACUUUGUUUAACUUUAUGUAUCUUUUCAUUGGAAAUACCUUUUUGUUAUUCUUUGUUGACAUUGAAAUCACUUUAUUAAAUAAAAGCCUACUGCAGUAGCACAUGCCUGUAGUUCGAGCUACUCGGGAGUCUGAGGCAGGAAGACUGCUUGAGUGCAGGAGUUCAAGACCAGCCAGGGCAAUGUAGCAAGACUUUGUCUCUAAAAUAACAAUAAUAAACUCAGCAAUUAAGAUUAGUUGACAUUGGACCACUUACAGAAUAUUUUUUUCAAAUUAGCCCUACUACUUGUAGGUUCCUCCCAGUCUUAAGACUAAAUACCUUUUUAAUUUGGGGUAAAUGUCAGAAUUGGAAGAGACUUUAAAGGGCAUGAAGAAUUCUACUCCAAAGGUUAUCCAGUCCACGUACCCAUCCAGCCUAUCAAGUGUAAAUCCUUUCUGUACUUUAAAUUCUUAUGAGACACAAACUGCCUCCUAAGGUAGCAUAUUCUGGUUUUGGAGAGCUCUACCUACUAGCUGGUUAUUUCUUACAUUAAAUUAAUACCUUUAAAAAGUAUUAUGAAAAUAACACACUCAGUAA